rnacentral:rRNA from 1 species
UACGGAGGGAGCUAGCGUUGUUCGGAAUUACUGGGCGUAAAGCGCACGUAGGCGGCUUUGUAAGUUAGAGGUGAAAGCCCGGGGCUCAACCCCGGAACUGCCUUUAAGACUGCAUCGCUUGAAUCCAGGAGGGGUGAGUGGAAUUCCGAGUGUAGAGGUGAAAUUCGUAGAUAUUCGGAAGAACACCAGUGGCGAAGGCGGCUCACUGGCCUGGUAUUGACGCUGAGGUGCGAAAGCGUGGGGAGCAAACAGG